CCCUCCCUCUCUCUCUCUCUCU
rnacentral:snRNA from 1 species